rnacentral:rRNA from 1 species
GUUCGGAAUUACUGGGCGUAAAGCGCACGUAGGCGGAUCGGAAAGUUGGGGGUGGAAAUACCCGGGGCGUCAACCCCGGAACCGGCCUCCAAAACUAAUCGGUCUAGAGUUCGAGAGAGGUGAGUGGAAUUCCGAGUGUAGAGGUGAAAUUCGUAGAUAUUCGGAGGAACACCAGUGGCGAAGGCGGCUCACUGGCUCGAUACUGACGCUGAGGUGCGAAAGUGUGGGGAGCAAACAGGAUUAGAUACCCUGGUAG